ACUGAGAUCCGAUAGCAAGCUGUACUUGUACAGUGAAGUGGCUGAUACCAUGCUUCCAGGAAAAGUCUCUAAGCUUCAGUUACACAGGAAUCGUACCCGAAACCGACACAGGUGGUCAGGUCGAGUAGACCAAGGCGCUUGAGAGAACUCUGCUGAAGGAACUAGGCAAAAUGGUACCGUAACUUCGGGAGAAGGUACGCUGUUGUUGGUGAUGGAACUUGCUUCCUGAGCUGACGACAGCCGCAGAAACCAGGCCGCUGCAACUGUUUAUUAAAAACAUAGCACUCUGCAAACACGAAAGUGGACGUAUAGGGUGUGAUGCCUGCCCGGUGCUGGAAGGUUAAUUGAUGGGGUUAGCGUAAGCGAAGCUCUUGAUCGAAGCCCCAGUAAACGGCGGCCGUAACUAUAACGGUCCUAAGGUAGCGAAAUUCCUUGUCGGGUAAGUUCCGACCUGCACGAAUGGCAUAAUGAUGGCGGCGCUGUCUCCAGCAGAGGCUCAGUGAAAUCGAAAUCGCUGUGAAGAUGCAGUGUACCCGCGGCUAGACGGAAAGACCCCGUGAACCUUUACUGCAGCUUGACACUGAACUUUGACCUUACUUGUGUAGGAUAGGUGGGAGGCUUUGAAGUUGGAACGCUAGUUCCAAUGGAGCCGUCCUUGAAAUACCACCCUGGUAAUGUUGAGGUUCUAACUCUGUCCCGUUAUCCGGGACGAGGACCGUGUCUGGUGGGUAGUUUGACUGGGGCGGUCUCCUCCUAAAGAGUAACGGAGGAGUACGAAGGUGCGCUCAGCGUGGUCGGAAAUCACGCGUAGAGUAUAAAGGCAAAAGCGCGCUUAACUGCGAGACCCACAAGUCGAGCAGGUACGAAAGUAGGUCUUAGUGAUCCGGUGGUUCUGUAUGGAAGGGCCAUCGCUCAACGGAUAAAAGGUACUCUGGGGAUAACAGGCUGAUACCGCCCAAGAGUUCAUAUCGACGGCGGUGUUUGGCACCUCGAUGUCGGCUCAUCUCAUCCUGGGGCUGAAGCAGGUCCCAAGGGUAUGGCUGUUCGCCAUUUAAAGAGGUACGCGAGCUGGGUUUAGAACGUCGUGAGACAGUUCGGUCCCUAUCUACCGUGGGCGCUGGAAAUUUGAGAGGAUCUGCUCCUAGUACGAGAGGACCAGAGUGGACGAACCUCUGGUGUACCGGUUGUGACGCCAGUCGCAUCGCCGGGUAGCUAUGUUCGGAAGGGAUAACCGCUGAAAGCAUCUAAGCGGGAAGCCUACCUCAAGAUAAGAUUUCCCUAGGAAUUUAUUCCUCUAAAGAGCCGUUCGAGACUAGGACGUUGAUAGGUUGGAUGUGGAAGCAUAGUGAUAUGUGAAGCUGACCAAUACUAAUUGCUCGUGAGGCUUGACUAUACAACACCCAAGCAGUUG
rnacentral:rRNA from 1 species